GUUGCCGGCCAUAGGGCGGGGGAAACACCCGAACCCAUCCCGAACUCGGAAGUUAAGCCCCGCUCCGUUCCCGGUGGUAGUGCGGUCUUCGGCCGCGCGAAGCCGGGAAAGCCGGCAACC
rnacentral:rRNA from 2 species